rfam:Butyrivibrio fibrisolvens DSM 3071 genome assembly, contig: EJ22DRAFT_scaffold00020.20
AAGGUCGUCAGACCUAAGCCGAAGACAGCAGGUGGUGAAAACCGUAAAUUUGCGUAAGCGAAUGCCCGCCGAGGAAAAGUAUAUGUUUAUGACUUUACCCUCCCAUGUCUUUGGGAGGUUUUUUUAUUCGGCCA